CACAUAUAGCUAUUUUUCCCUUUGCAAUUAUGUCUUUGGGAGGAAUUCCAAACAGUGGGAUUACUGGGUCAAAUAGCACAGCAUAUUUAUGGCCCUGGAUAUGGUGGGACUGGCUCAUUCUCAGACCCCAGCCCGACCCUACUGUCCCCAAGGUUUUUCUCUGAGUGAUGCCCAUGAAAGUCCCUUCCCAUUGGUGCCUGAAGCUACCCCAGUGCAUAGAGGUGCUCCCUCUGGCUCCUGGGGACUGGGGGCCAGGUGCAGUGCAGGGGAGCUGGGGUAGGGGCUGUUGGAGGGGUUAGAAGGAGUUGGCUGUGGGGACAGUGGAGAUGAGGCAUGGCCCCCAGUUUCUGGGGCCAGGAGCCCUGUUUGGGGGCACAGGAAGUCCUCUCCCGGGCCCCUUCCUUCUCUUGGAUCAUUUCUCUCCUGUCCCAGAGCCCCCACCUCUGAGUCUAAGAGGGGACCAUCAUCUCCCUGGGGCCCACAGAGAGCAGAGAGGGGGCUCUGGUGCAUCUGCUCUUCCUGACCUCCCUCCCCAAGGCAGAGGACCAGGCCAGGGAGAAACAGGAGGUGUGUAAACUGGUUUUGAGCAAACUUCUGUGGAGUUCCUGUCACGGCUCAGCAGAUUACAAACCUGACUAGACCCAUGAGGAUGCGAGUUCAAUCCCUGGCCUCUCUCAGUGGCUUUAGGAUCUGACAUUGCUGCAAACUGUGAUGUAGUUUGUAGACACGUCUUGGAUCCUGCAUGGCUGUGGCUGUGGUGUAGGCUGGCAGCUGUAGGUCUGAUUUGACCCCUAGCCUGGGAAUCUCUUUAUGCUAUGGGUGAAGCCCUAAAAAGCAAAACAAACAAACAAAAAAAAAAAAGUCUGCAUUAUUGUAAAAAAUGGGUUUGGGAUUCCAUCUCCCCCUGAACGUGCUCUGUCUGCCUUCUUCCCAGUCACCUGCCUCCAGCCCUCACUUCCUCAGCUCCCUGAGCUCCCGCCACCACCACCCCCAGUAAACUAUCAUCAGUGCCCAGAUCCGGGGGCCUAGAUGGUGGAAGGGAAGGGAUCCCCACACCAGCCCCUCUGGGCCCUGCCCCAGAACCUCAGGAUGCCCAGGAUGCCCCCCUCCCAGGCAUGCCUUCCCUGUCCUGGGGAGACUCACUCACAGUUUGGGGAGUUGGCUUGCUUGGCAUUUAAGGGGACCGCUGAGGUUUCACUCCACUGAUGGCCUCAUGCAUUAGAACGUGUAGCGUGGUGGGAGGAGGGGUCUGCUCUUCCUAAGAGCUCAGCCCCUCGCUCAGCACAUCGUGGUUGACAGUGGCGGCUUGGGCAUGGCCAAGGCUGGGAGGGAGGAGUCGGGCCAAGUCCCUGGGCCCUUCCCUCCAGGCCAGGAGCCAGCUGUCUCUGUACCUUCUUCCCUUGGUCCUUCUGGCCUCCAAGCUUCUGGUGGCAGGUUCUGGGAGACAGUGCAGAAAGAACACAGGACUUGAGAGUUCUCGCCCCGUCUCUGCCACUACCUGGCUGCAUGAUCCAGGCCCCUGCCCUCUCUGUCCUCAGCUGUCACACCAGGCGCUGACUCUCACUCCUGCCUUGUGGCUCCUGUGGUAGCUUCUAUCAAGGCCCCGGUGGGGUGAGCUUUUCAGGUGGCUGACCUCCACACAGCUUGCCAUGUGGCUGGCACCCAAAUGGGGUGGGAAUCUGGAAGGAAGCUGAUCCCUGCCUCCCAAUGGCAGCCCUUGGCCUUGGCCUGGCACGAGUCCCCUCUGGGGUUAGGGCCAUCAGCCCCAUUUCUUCAUCUUCACCCUCCUUUUCCCAAGCGUCACUCUGCUUCGAGGAGAUGGGGAGCUUUUUGCCAGCUGAUGAGGGGAACAGUGGCUGCUGGAGCAUGUGGGAGCAAUUGGGGGGCUGUGUGGGCUGUGUGAUUUUCCCGGACAGGCAUACGUGAGAGAGAGAAGAAAUUAUUCUGUCUAAAAUCUCAGAGACGAGCUCAUCUCCAGAGCUGGCAGAAUGACUGCUGUAUGUCUGGCUGGGGAGGUAUGAGAUAGGAUGGGUUUCAGGGGCAGGAGCGAGGUGGGAAUGACCCUUGGAGGCCACAGCCACCAAGAGAACUUUUCUUUUUUUUCUAAUGGCCACAGCUGCAGCACAUGGACAUUCCUGGGCCAGGGAUUGAAUCUCAGCCAUAGCUAUGACUGACACAGGAGCUUUUAACCACUGCCCUGGGCCAGGGAUCAAACCCACAUCUCCUCAGCAACCUGAGCCUCUGCAGGCAAAUUCUUUUUCCCCCGCAGCAUGUGGAAGUUCCUAGGCUAGGGGUCAUAUCAGAGCUGCAGCUGCCAGCCUGCACCACAGCCACAGCAACGCAGGAUCUGAGCCACAUCUGCGACCUACACCGCAGGUCAUUACAAUGCUGGAUCCUUAACCCACUGAGUGGAGCCAGGGAAUCAAAUCCACGUCCUCAUGGAUACUACUCGGGUUACCACUCGUGUUACCACCGAACCACAACAGUAAUUCCAGUAGGCGAAUUCUUAACCCGCUGUGCCACAGUGGGAACUCUCCUAGAUAACCUUUUAUGUUUGCCCAGAUGUCACCCCUUAUAAAAAGCCAUGGCACCCACCCACAUGGAGAUGAUGGUUCUGAAGAUGAAGCCAGGAGGGGACCAUGGAAGCAAAGUGCAGCUGUGGUUUAUCUUCUGAAUCCUCAGGCAGGAUUUGCCAAAGAUCCCCCCACCCCUGCCCCCAGCAUCUACCUUCAGAAGUGUGUCUUUCCUGCUGGAGGAGGAGAAAGAUUGGAUUGGGAAGAAGGUUGUCCUACUGGACCCCAAGUCCCAGGGGAAGGCUUGACAACUCUCUGGAUUCAGGGGGACUCUAGGAAUCUGUUGGACUCCUAGUUCUCUGCCAUGGUGAUUUUUUUUCCCACCAUGGAAAAGGAACCAGCUAAUGAUGGCUAGAAACGAAACCCUCUCCAGGAAUCUCUAGCUUCUUUCCUGGAGGCAUUUGCUUUAUAUAAUGGGAAUAUAUAUAUUGGUGGUAACAGGCCAGGUAAGAGGAGAUCGGGUAGGGGGUCUUGGUGAAAGGUCCUUGUGAUAGUCACUGGCACUGUUCACAAACGUUCAAAUCUCUUUUAUUCCAGGGCAUUGUAGGAGAUGACUCCCCAUCCACUUCAAUUCAGGUCUGACCAUCUCACUUGCUUUGACCAAUGAGUAAAAUUGUGACCAAUAAAAAGCAAUGUGGGUGUGACUUCCAGGCAGAAGCAUUAAGUGGUCCACCUUGUCUCUGAGAUCCCAGACACACCUGUUGAGAUGAAGCCUCCGUCACACUGGGUCACUGAGUGGCUGACAUAGAGCACCUCCCUGCUCACCUACAAUGGACAUGUUGCAUGCAAGAAAUUGAUCUACUGUUGGAGCCAUUGAGAUAUGGGGACUGUUUUUUACUACAGCUUAACCUAGCCUCUUGGGCUGAUACAGUCACCAAGCUGGCCAAUGAGAACCUUGCCCAGGACUUUUCGGUUAGGAUCUGGGCCUUUCUAGUGAGCUGGACCCAUCGUAUGUAAACCUUGCUGCUGUGUUUUCCACCAUAGGAAUGUGUAAGCCAGAACAUAAUUUUUUAAAGAGAGAAAAGAAAGCAGGCACUCAGCGAGGAGGCGAUAGCUACAUCCCCAGCAUUCCAUUUCCUGCCUCAGAUCCAGAUGCAUAAAAAUCCCCUGGGUCCUUUUAUGAACCUUUUCUCCCUAUAUUAUACAAGCCUGGGUUGAUUUAGUUGGAUCUCAAUCAAGAGUCCUAACGCAGAGUGAAAGGGGAUUCGGGACAAGCCUCCAUUUUCCAGAUGAGGUGCUGAGGGUUCGAGGGGGGAAGUGACUUGGCCAAAGUCAUAGAGCCAUUGAGGACACAUUUGCUUCCUUUCUUGGGAAAAUAAUUCAAGCAAUAAAGAUACAAUGCUAGUCUUCCUAUCUCACCCUCCUAAUCCCAUUCUCCAAAAUUAGGAGUUCUCAGUGUGGCUCAGUGGGUUAAGAACCCGACAUAGUGUCUGUGAGGAUGUCGGUUCUUUCCCUGGUCUUGAUCAAUGGGUUAAGGAUCCAGUGUUGCCUCAAGCUGUGUCAUAGGUGGCAGACACAGCUCAGAUCUGGUGUUGCUAUGGUGGUGGCCUCAGCUGCAGCUCUGAUUCGACCCCUGGCCUGGGAACUUCCAAAUGCCACAGGU
rnacentral:lncRNA from 1 species